rnacentral:lncRNA from 1 species
UUUCUCAGGACCAGCACGGGGUCAGGGCUGCGGAGAUGGAGCCCCUGCAGACUUCCCUUGGAAUCAGAGAGCAGGGAGGACACGCCCCGGAGAGACACAGGGUCCCCUCCUCCAGCCUCCUGUGCGCCAAGAGAAUGCCCAAUGCCUGCCUGUGACUUACGCAAUUUCUUACAUCCAACAUGAAACCUCUCCUUGGAUGAAGCAUUUAAAACGAAGUCAUCAAGUGAAAGGGGACGCCUUCUCUCCAAGCUCGUGAUCCGUGCUGCCCCUGGGUGGGACCCUCCAGACCU